rnacentral:rRNA from 1 species
GUUGUAUGGUUAAGUGACUAAGCGUACACGGUGGAUGCCUUGGCAGUCAGAGGCGAUGAAAGACGUAGUAACUUGCGAUAAGCCCAGAUUAGGUAGUAACAACCAUUUGAGUCUGGGAUUUCUGAAUGGGGAAACCCACUUACAUAAGUAAGUAUCAUUAACUGAAUACAUAGGUUAAUGAGGCGAACCGGGGGAACUGAAACAUCUAAGUACCCCGAGGAAAAGAAAUCAACCGAGAUUCCGAAAGUAGCGGCGAGCGAAAUUGGACUAGCCCUUAAGCUUUAUACGCGUUAGACGAACGGUCUGGAAAGUCCGGCGAUACAGGGUGAUAGCCCCGUAGUUGACGACGUGUGUUCAGUGAAAUCGAGUAGGGCGGGACACGUGAUAUCCUGUCUGAAUAUGGGGGGACCAUCCUCCAAGGCUAAAUACUACUGACUGACCGAUAGUGAACCAGUACCGU